rnacentral:rRNA from 1 species
AGAGGUCGAUCCUGGUUCAGAGUGAACCCUGGGGGUAGGCCUAACACAUGCAAGUCGAACGGCAGCACAGUAAGAGCUUGCUCUUACCGGUGGCGAGUGGCGGAAGGGUGAGGAAUACAUCGGAAUCUACUUUUUGGUGGGGGAUAACGUACGGAAACUUACGCUAAUACCGCAUACGACCUACCGGUGAAAGCAGGGGAUCUUCGGACCUUGCGCGAUUGAAUGACCCCAUGUCGGAUUAGCUAGUUGGCGGGGUAAAGGACCACCAAGGCGACGAUCCGUAGCUGGUCUGAGAGGAUGAUCAGCCACACUGGAACUGAUACCCGGUCCCGACUCCUACGGGAGGCCGCAGUGGGGAAUAUUGGACAACGGGCGCAAGCCUGAUCCGCCUUACCGUGUGGGUGAAGAAGGCCUUCCGGUUGUAAAGCCCUUUUGUUGGGAAAGAAAUCCACCUGGUUAAUACCCGGUUGGGAUGACGGUACCCAAAGUAUAACCUCCGGCUAAUUUCGUGCCAGCAGCCGCGGUAAUACCAA